rnacentral:rRNA from 1 species
UUGCCUACGGGAGGCAGCAGUGAGGAAUCUUCCACAAUGGGCGAAAGCCUGAUGGAGCAACGCCGCGUGCAGGAUGAAGGCCUUCGGGUCGUAAACUGCUUUUAUAAGUGAAGAAUAUGACGGUAACUUAUGAAUAAGCACCGGCUAACUACGUGCCAGCAGCCGCGGUCAUACGUAGGGUGCAAGCAUUAUCCGGAGUGACUGGGCGUAAAGAGUUGCGUAGGUGGUUUGUUAAGUGAAUGGUGAAAUCUGGUGGCUCAACCACGUAGACUAUCAUUCAAACUGACAAACUCGAGAAUAGCAGAGGUAACUGGAAUUUCUAGUGUAGGAGUGAAAUCCGUAGAUAUUAGAAGGAACACCAAUGGCGUAGGCAGGUUACUGGGCUAUUUCUGACACUAAGGCACGAAAGCGUGGGGAGCGAACCGGAUUAGAUACCCGGGUAGUCCA